rnacentral:rRNA from 1 species
UCCUGGCUCAGGAUGAACGCUAGCUACAGGCUUAACACAUGCAAGUCGAGGGGCAGCAUAUCGAAAGCUUGCUUUGAUGAUGGCGACCGGCGCACGGGUGAGUAACGCGUAUCCAACCUUCCCUAUACUAGAGGAUAGCCCGGCGAAAGUCGGAUUAAUACUCUAUGUUGUAUUUCGAGGACAUCUGAAUAAUACCAAAGGUUUACCGGUAUAGGAUGGGGAUGCGUCUGAUUAGGUUGUUGGCGGGGUAACGGCCCACCAAGCCCACGAUCAGUAGGGGUUCUGAGAGGAAGGUCCCCCACAUUGGAACUGAGACACGGUCCAAACUCCUACGGGAGGCAGCAGUGAGGAAUAUUGGUCAAUGGACGAGAGUCUGAACCAGCCAAGUAGCGUGCAGGAUGACGGCCCUAUGGGUUGUAAACUGCUUUUAUACAGGGAUAAAGUUCACUACGUGUAGUGUUUUGUAGGUACUGUAUGAAUAAGGACCGGCUAAUUCCGUGCCAGCCGCGGC